UAAGACCAGUCAUCAUGUUCACUGUUAUAUUCAUGUAUCUGUGGCUUUCACUAGGUGACUCCAUGGCAGAUUCAAUAGAGCCAGAUUUCCCUCAUAAAGCUGUAGAUGAAGGUGAUGAUGUUACUCUGUCCUGCACAUACAAAUUCAGUAGUACUUUAACAAACAACUACCUGCACUGGUACAGGCAAUAUCCAAAAUCUAAACCUGAGUUCAUUCUUUAUAUUAACCAAAAAGGAGAUCUAACAUCUUCCAUGCCCCCAAGAAUAUCUGUCAAAGUUGAUGUUAAACAAGUGGAUCUGAUCAUCUCCUCUGCUGCUGUAUCAGACUCUGCACUAUACUACUUGAUCCUCAGUGAUCAAUCUGUGUUCCUCUGCUGGUCUGAUCAUGGAGACAUGAAGUCUUGGGAUGCACAUCACCUAGGAUCUUUUCUGGGUGAGAAAAUCCCAUAA